rnacentral:tRNA from 2 species
GCUCUUGUGGCGGAACUGGCAGACGCGGCAGACUUAAAAUCUGUUUUUUUUUGUGGGUUCGAGUCCCACCAGGAGCACCA